UGCCUUGAUGGGCUGCCCUUAGGUCAGCUGG
rnacentral:piRNA from 2 species